UACGUAGGGUGCAAGCGUUGUCCGGAAUUAUUGGGCGUAAAGAGCUCGUAGGCGGUCUGUCACGUCGGCUGUGAAAACCCGAGGCUCAACCUCGGGCCUGCAGUCGAUACGGGCAAACUAGAGUGUUGCAGGGGAGACUGGAAUUCCUGGUGUAGCGGUGAAAUGCGCAGAUAUCAGGAGGAACACCGAUGGCGAAGGCAGGUCUCUGGGCCGAUACUGACGCUGAGGAGCGAAAGCGUGGGGAGCGAACAGG
rnacentral:rRNA from 1 species